CGCGUCUCCAAAUGUGCCAAAAGGGCGAUGGGUCCGAGUGGAACAGCAGGAAGUACCAUCAAUAGCAAAAAGUGAAAGAAACAAAAUCCUAACACUGGCAGUAAAGGAGGACUGGAGAGUGCCGAUAAAAAAUUACAUUGCAAAGGGAAUAAUUCCGACGGAUGCGAUGGAAGAAAGAAAACUGAAAAACAAGGCGGCCUGGUUCACAAUAGUAGGGGACGAUCUUUUCCGUAGGGCAGUAGAGGACAGCCUUCCCUUACGGAUUUGCGUUACACACGAAGAAGGAAGAGAAAUACUAACAAGCGCACACAGAGGGGCGUGCGGCCCACAUCAG
rnacentral:lncRNA from 1 species